UUCCUUAAGACAAAUAUUCUAAAGGCAAAUAUAUAUACAAGCCACAAAGGAGGUUAGUUGGGCUUUCAUGUGUUUUUUCUUCACGUUCAUGGUUCAGAAGCAUUGGCAAACUUCCAUUAGGGUCACAAAACUACCCAUGGAAGUACCCACAACAACCUCUACGAAAGCCUUACCUAAACUGUCACUAGGGUCAUAAAACUACCCAUGGAGGUACCCACAACAACCUCUACGAAAGCCUUACUAAUGUCGGUGUGAGAGUAAUCCCCGAAACGCUUGAGAAUGUGGUCUGGAUUCGUGUCAAGUUGUCUGUAAUCAUUUUGUGUGGCGAAUCAUCGGUGUCUCUGUAUAGAAUCAUCAUCUUAGCAUUUCUUUCUCCCGUCCGUCAACCCUUUCGUCAAGCGGUAGCCUAUUGUGGUCGAAAUCUGUCUUUCCUGUUUGCUUUUGGUUCAGAGUAAAUUUUGGCCACUUUACUUUUGUCCGUUGUGGGAGUGGCAAGUAGCGGGCUUUUUUUUUUAUUCUACACUCUUUUUGUUGCCCUUGAGCCGUCUCCUUUGUUAUAUAAAGAGAACAAAAAGUGUUUGUGUUGGUUGUCGUAGUAGGUUAUGUGAAAAUGUAAUGUUUUUUUCACUUUUUUCGAGUAUUUUCUUUUUCUUUUGUAUAUGAUAUUGCUCGAAAUCCGUCUCCUUUGUUGUAAAAAAAGAAAAAAAGGGUUUGUAUAGGUUAUCGUAGUAGGUUAUGUGAAAAUGUUGUUUUAUUAUUUUUUUCGAGUAUUUUCUUUUUCUUUUGUAUAUGGUAUCGCUCGAAGUCCGUUUCCUUUGUCGUCUCAAUCUUGUAUUAUUAUUGGAAUCUGUCUUGGUCGAGAAGGAAAAUAAUGUUUGUAUUGGUUUGUAUUGGAAGUUUGAGUUACUUUCUUUAUUCCUUCACAAGUUUGUCGCGUUUUUUUUUUCCAUAUAGUAUUGGUCGAAGUCCGUCUCCUUAGUCGUCUCCGCCUUGCAUUAUCAUCGGAAUCUGUCUUGUUCUUUUGCUGUUGGUCGAGAAGAAAAAUAAUGUUUGUAUUGGUUUGUAUUGGAAGUUUGAGUUACUUUCUUUAUCCAUUCACAAGUUUGUCGCGUAUGUUUUCUUUUCCGUAAGGUGUCGCUCGAAGCCCGUCUCCUUGGCGCUGAUGAGAGCCUCUGACUUUGUUAAAAAUAAACAUUAGGUAAUUUAUUUAUUUCACUGCUUAAUCUUUGUGUACAUGUUAAAGAAAUGUAUACGUCUAUUGUCUCCAUUUUAUUUUUUCCUACGCCAAUGUAUGUUUUUUUAAAGUUAUAAAUUUUUGUAUGAUCCAGAAAAGUGCGUCAGUUGCGUUAAUAUUUUUUUUUCUACGCCAUUGUGCUUUUCUGAAAGUUAUACAUUUUUUUAUGAUCCAGAAAUGUGCGUCAGUUGCGUUAAUAUUUUUUUUUCUACGCCAAUGUAUUUUUUCUGAAAGUUAUAAAUUUUUUUAUGAUCCAGAAAAGUGCGUCAGUUGUCUUAAUAUUUUUUUUUCUACGCCAAUGUAUUUUUUCUGAAAGUUAUACAUUUUUUUUAUGAUCCAGAAAUGUGCGUCAGUUGCGUUAAUAUUUUUUUUCCUACGCCAAUGUAUUUUUCUGAAAGUUAUACAUUUUUUUUUAUGAUCCAGAAAUGUGCGUCAGUUGCAUUAAUAUUUGUUUUUCCCUACGCCAAUGUAUUUUUUUUUUAAAGUUAUAAAUUUUUUUAUGAUCCAGAAAUGUGCGUCAGUUGCGUUAAUAUUUUUUUUUCUAUGCCAAUGUAUUUUUUUUUAAAGUUAUAAAUUUUUUUAUGAUCCAGAAAUGUGCGUCAAUUGUCUUAAUAUUUUUUCUACGUCACUAAUCUUUUCUGAAGGCUAUACAUUUUCAUCUUUCAGUUUUAGUUCAUCUUGCCUUUCAACCUAACCUAACCUAACCUAACCUAACCUAACCUAUCUUUCGGCCACUCCUCUUGACUUUUGUAGGAGCAGUGAGUAGAGGUUUUUUUUUCUCAUUAUUGCUUCCUUUUUUUUUGCCCUUGAACUGUUUCCUCUACUGUAAAAAAAAAAAAAAAAAAUGUACAGCUCGGCCAUUUUGUGUCCUUCAUGUUCCAUAUAAUAUCGUGUGUUGCUUCGUUAGUUGUCGAACGUUGCCUGGCAUCACGCUGACACACCACUGUACCCAGCCUUAGGAAUAAUACCACGGUGACCUAACAUCUGUCUAUUUUUUGCUUAAUACAGUUUAAAAGUA